UUGCUUGUGCAAGUAUCCAAGAUGUUAAAUCAGCUUAAAGACAACCUAAAUGACUACUAAAUCAGCUAAGUACAUGAUUAAACCUUAGCUGAUCAAACAAAAAAGGAUUACAACCAAAUUAGGAAAAGUCAACUAUUACAAAAGCUCUACAACUGAAUUACACCAUGGAUAUUUGCAUCAUGAUGCUAUGUUGCUUGGUUACUUGCAUGCUGCUGCUGUGUUGCCACCUUUUAACAUUCAGUCACUGUUGUUUCGUUUUAUACAUGGGCUAAUUGAUGUAGAACUGGGAGGGCAAAGAUAAAGAAAGAAAAAAAAGAUGAGAACGGAAUACGGAGUAGGAGGGGGAGGGAGAGAAGUUUACUUUUACUUUUACUGUGUGUUCCUUCUUAUUCAUUGAUGUGAUGAAUGCGUGCUAGAUAUGUGGUGGCUGCACUGCUUCUCUUUGUCACAAAGUUGGGAUGUGAUUGAUUCUGAAGUCAGAGAAUGUAAAGGUUUGCGAAUUGCAAAUUGCAACUCGUGCUUAU
rnacentral:lncRNA from 1 species